AUUGAACGCUGGCGGCAGGCCUAACACAUGCAAGUCGAGCGGAGCGUCGGACGGGUAAGUAAUGCCUAGGAAUCUGCCUGGUGGUGGUGGAUAGCGUCCGGAAACGGGCGCUAAUACCUCAUACUAGCCUUUUAGCCUAGGUCGGUUUAGCUAGUUGGUGGGGGAAAGGGCUACCAAGGCUACGAUCAGUACCUGGUCUGAGAGGAGGAUCAGCCACAUGGAAACUGAGACACGGUCCAGACUCCUACGGGAGGCAGCAGUGGGGAAUAUUGGACAAUGGGCGAAAGCCUGAUGCAGCAAUGCCGCGUGUGUGAAGAAGGCCUUCGGAUUGUAAAGCACUUUAAGUUGGGAGGCGGUACCAACAGAAUAAGCACCGGCUAACGUAGGGCCAGGAGCCGCGGUAAUAC
rnacentral:rRNA from 1 species